rnacentral:lncRNA from 1 species
AGAGCGUUCCCAUGGCUCCGAUUCAUCUCCCCUGAAGUUACCUCCUUUCAUCUCCAACUUGUUCCCUUUUCUCAAACCUAAGCCUCCUGUUACUGCUACUGAUGCAAAUGGUGGUUCUAAGGCCGUCUCCGGAGAGAAGGAACCUCAGAACUCGGUUGUCUCUUUCCCUUACAAUCCACCCAAAAGCGCAGCAGAGCCCCUGAAGGUUGAGGUUGAGCCCAGCUCCGGCAGGACUUCCAACUCCGUCAUCCUUUGGCAGGUGAUUUUGAUGAGAUGUGUAUUGUCAGGGAUUUCUUUGAUGAAAAUCAUGGAAUUGUGAUUUGAAUUUGGCUUUUUAUUUAUAACUGAGUUUGGUGAGAGGUGCUUUGUUAUGUUAUUUAUGAGGGGAACAAUGUGAAAGGGUAGGGACCAUGGCUGAUUCAAGGCAGAUGUUUCUAAUUAUGACUCUGGGUGUGACUCAGAUUAACGCGUCCUGUUACUUGAAACUAUUCUGGCUUUUUCUUUACUAAUAGGGAAAUAGUUGAGUUGAUAUCUUGAUUUGCAAAAGUGGCUCUGCAGUUUUUUAUGUUCCGUUGGUUUUAAUCAGUUGUAGUCUGCUGCAUUGAUUGUCAAAAAUGGUUAAGAGUUUUUGUUAUGCUCCAUAAAUUCUGCUUAUUGCAUGUGUUAGAACGCUUUAGAUGACCUUUAACAAUUAGUUGGAUGACGCCUCAUUUGUGUGGGUUAUUGGAGAUUGAAGUAGCAUGCUAUUUGGUAUGUGCUCCUUUUCAAUUGCUUUCCUAACUAUUCAACAGUGUGAUCAGUAUUCACAUUGGAUUGCAAGUUUGGUAUCAAUCAUAGCUGUCAUUUGAUACCAUGAUUUGAUGCCUGCGCCUCUAGAUGUUUAUAUGUUCUGAUAUCCUGCAAAAAAUUGAAUUCUUUCAUGGUUGUUUCAUCAGUGGAUAUUCUCUAAACUAUUUC